rnacentral:rRNA from 1 species
CCUACGGGAGGCAGCAGUGAGGAAUAUUGGUCAAUGGGCGCGAGCCUGAACCAGCCAAGUAGCGUGAAGGAUGACUGCCCUACGGGCUGUAAACUUCUUUUAUAAAGGAAUAAAUAGAGGCACGUGUGCCUUUUUGUAUGUACUUUAUGAAUAAGGAUCGGCUAACUACGUGCCAGCAGCCGCGGUAAUACGGAGGAUCCGAGCGUUAUCCGGAUUUAUUGGGUUUAAAGGGAGCGUAGAUGGGUUGUUAAGUCAGUUGUGAAAGGUUGCGGCUCAACCGUAAAAUUGCAAUUGAUACUGGCAGUCUUGAGUACAGUUGAGGUAGGUGGAAUUCGUGGUGUAGCGGUGAAAUGCGUAGAUAUCACGAAGAACUCCGAUUGCGAAGGCAGCUUACUAAACUGCCACUGACAUUGAUGCGCGAAAGUGUGGGUAUCAAACAGGAUUAGAUACCCUUGUAGUC